CUAUGCGCCUUGCCAGCCCGCUCAGGUGUGCCAGCAGCCGCGGUAAUACGGAGGAUGCGAGCGUUAUCCGGAUUUAUUGGGUUUAAAGGGUGCGUAGGCGGAUUUUUAAGUCAGCGGUAAAAUGUCCGGGCUCAACCCGGGCCGGCCGUUGAAACUGGGGAUCUUGAGUGGGCGAGAAGUAUGCGGAAUGCGUGGUGUAGCGGUGAAAUGCAUAGAUAUCACGCAGAACUCCGAUUGCGAAGGCAGCAUACCGGCGCCCGACUGACGCUGAGGCACGAAAGCGUGGGGGAUCGAACAGG
rnacentral:rRNA from 1 species